rnacentral:rRNA from 1 species
CGUACACUCCUACGGGAGGCAGCAGUGGGGAAUAUUGGACAAUGGGCGAAAGCCUGAUCCAGCAAUGCCGCGUGAGUGAUGAAGGCCUUAGGGUUGUAAAGCUCUUUUACCCGGGAUGAUAAUGACAGUACCGGGAGAAUAAGCCCCGGCUAACUCCGUGCCAGCAGCCGCGGUAAUACGGAGGGGGCUAGCGUUGUUCGGAAUUACUGGGCGUAAAGCGCGCGUAGGCGGCUUUGCAAGUUAGAGGUGAAAGCCCGGAGCUCAACUUCGGAAUUGCCUUUAAGACUGCAUCGCUAGAAUCGUGGAGAGGUGAGUGGAAUUCCGAGUGUAGAGGUGAAAUUCGUAGAUAUUCGGAAGAACACCAGUGGCGAAGGCGACUCACUGGACACGUAUUGACGCUGAGGUGCGAAAGCGUGGGGAGCAAACAGGAUUAGAUACCCCUGUAGUCCCAUG